AACCCAUGGUGAGGGCACUUUCUCAAUAAAUUCUUAUACCUUACCCAUGCAUAAUAUAGUCUUUAAGUCCAUCUGUACGAAGGAAGAGAUAUCAUUCCUCAACUU
rfam:Gossypium arboreum cultivar AKA8401 contig_21351_3, whole genome shotgun sequence.